AGAGUUUGAUCCUGGCUCAGGACGAACGCUGGCGGCGUGCCUAAUACAUGCAAGUCGAGCGAGCUUGCCUAGAUGAUUUUAGUGCUUGCACUAAAUGAAACUAGAUACAAGCGAGCGGCGGACGGGUGAGUAACACGUGGGUAACCUGCCCAAGAGACUGGGAUAACACCUGGAAACAGAUGCUAAUACCGGAUAACAACACUAGACGCAUGUCUAGAGUUUGAAAGAUGGUUCUGCUAUCACUCUUGGAUGGACCUGCGGUGCAUUAGCUAGUUGGUAAGGUAACGGCUUACCAAGGCAAUGAUGCAUAGCCGAGUUGAGAGACUGAUCGGCCACAUUGGGACUGAGACACGGCCCAAACUCCUACGGGAGGCAGCAGUAGGGAAUCUUCCACAAUGGACGAAAGUCUGAUGGAGCAACGCCGCGUGAGUGAAGAAGGGUUUCGGCUCGUAAAGCUCUGUUGGUAGUGAAGAAAGAUAGAGGUAGUAACUGGCCUUUAUUUGACGGUAAUUACUUAGAAAGUCACGGCUAACUACGUGCCAGCAGCCGCGGUAAUACGUAGGUGGCAAGCGUUGUCCGGAUUUAUUGGGCGUAAAGCGAGUGCAGGCGGUUCAAUAAGUCUGAUGUGAAAGCCUUCGGCUCAACCGGAGAAUUGCAUCAGAAACUGUUGAACUUGAGUGCAGAAGAGGAGAGUGGAACUCCAUGUGUAGCGGUGGAAUGCGUAGAUAUAUGGAAGAACACCAGUGGCGAAGGCGGCUCUCUGGUCUGCAACUGACGCUGAGGCUCGAAAGCAUGGGUAGCGAACAGGAUUAGAUACCCUGGUAGUCCAUGCCGUAAACGAUGAGUGC
rnacentral:rRNA from 1 species